AUGGCCGCGGUGGCGAUCUCCAACCUGCUCUGUUGCUGCCCGGUGCUCCAUGAACUCUGGAUCAACCUCACCACGCAGGAAGAUGAUGCCUACAAAAGACAUGCCCGCAAUCGAGAUGAGGGCACCCACCAAUUCUUGGAAUGGAAAUUUUGGUACGACCGCGAUAAGUCCAUGGCUCAUCUCGACCAAUGCGGCGAUUCCAAGCCGGCCACGGUAUCACCAGAAUUAGGCGUUGCAUAUGACGAAAUUUCUGAAAUUUUUGGUUUGAGUCGACACUCGGCCGAGUGCUUGCGGAGCUCACUCAUGAGAGUGGGUCUGCAAUUCCGGCUAGAGAAGUCAAACUGUUUUGGUGUCAAGUUGAUCAAAUCCUUCACCAAAAAUGCGACGGUUCUUGAAGAAAUGCAAAUUGAUGGUGGGAACGGAAAGUUGUUUGAACACAUGAAUCGCAAGGUUGAAACAUGGAUCACCAGUUCAUCUAAAAAGACAAAGCUAGAAGUGCCUACCUUUGUGGUCUUGCCCCUUAAGAGAUGUCCCUACAGGGAAUGA
rnacentral:rRNA from 1 species